rnacentral:rRNA from 1 species
UUGGGAGCUCACUGGCUUCGGAGUCAUGGGAACUCCGAAGUUAAGCGAGUUGGGGGCUAGAGCAAUCCUAUGAUGGGUGACCCACUGGGAAGUUGCUCGUGAGCUCCCAGA